rnacentral:rRNA from 1 species
CCUACGGGAGGCAGCAGUGGGGAAUUUUCCGCAAUGGGCGAAAGCCUGACGGAGCAACGCCGCGUGAGGGAUGAAGGCCUCUGGGCUGUAAACCUCUUUUAUCAAGGAAGAAGAUCUGACGGUACUUGAUGAAUAAGCCACGGCUAAUUCCGUGCCAGCAGCCGCGGUAAUACGGGAGUGGCAAGCGUUAUCCGGAAUUAUUGGGCGUAAAGCGUCCGCAGGCGGUCUUGUAAGUCUGUCGUUAAAGCGUGGAGCUUAACUCCAUUUCGGCGGUGGAAACUACAAGACUAGAGUGUGGUAGGGGCAGAGGGAAUUCCCGGUGUAGCGGUGAAAUGCGUAGAUAUCGGGAAGAACACCAGUGGCGAAGGCGCUCUGCUGGGCCAUAACUGACGCUCAUGGACGAAAGCUAGGGGAGCGAAAGGAUUAGAUACCCCUGUAGUCCUAGCCGUAAACGAUGAACACUAGUGUCGGGGGAAUCGACCCCUCGGUGUCGUAGCUAACGCGUUAAGUGUUCCGCCUGGGGAGUACGACACGCGAGUGUGAACGUACAAGAAGUAGACGGCGUGAGACGUGCCGAACGGACGACGACGAGGGAGUAGG